rnacentral:lncRNA from 1 species
UCUAAUAUCUAGAACCUUCCUUCUUACCACUCCUUUGCUGGUGCUAAGGCAAGUAAGGGUGAUGGUGUCCUGUUCCUUGUUGGCACUGAGGAAUCUUCCCACGGAAGAAUUCAACAGAGAAACAGCAUGAAGACCCUGACUACUGACCAAGGGACCACUCAGGAUAACCCAGAACAUGGAGAAAAAAGCUAGCUACAGGGUGGCCAGCACAAGGGUAUGUGCCAGUCCCUGGCACAGACUGGCCUGGCUGCAGGUGACUGGCUGAAGGUUCCUGGGUUUUAA